AUCGCUUCUCGGCCUUUUGGCUAAGAUCAAGUGUAGAAAAAGCACUGAUGGGUCUACUCUCUUCCUCCUAAAUUUACUAACAUUCAGUGUCAAAUAGAAUGCAAUCUUUUUUUCAGACGUGGAAUCUUUUUUUAAAGUGCCACCAUUUUAUGAACAGCAGACCUUAA
rnacentral:snRNA from 1 species